rnacentral:rRNA from 1 species
UGCAAGUCGAACGGCAGCGGGGACUUCGGUCCGCCGGCGAGUGGCGAACGGGUGAGUAAAGUAUCGGAACGUACCUUUCAGUGGGGGAUAACGUAGCGAAAGUUACGCUAAUACCGCAUAUUCUGUGAGCAGGAAAGCAGGGGAUCGCAAGACCUUGCGCUGAUUGAGCGGCCGAUAUCAGAUUAGCUAGUUGGUGAGGUAAAGGCUCACCAAGGCGACGAUCUGUAGCGGGUCUGAGAGGAUGAUCCGCCACACUGGAACUGAGACACGGUCCAGACUCCUACGGGAGGCAGCAGUGGGGAAUUUUGGACAAUGGGGGCAACCCUGAUCCAGCCAUGCCGCGUGAGUGAAGAAGGCCUUCGGGUUGUAAAGCUCUUUCGGCCGGGAAGAAAUCGUAUGGGUUAAUACCCUGUGCGGAUGACGGUACCGGCAUAAGAAGCACCGGCUAACUACGUGCCAGCAGCCGCGGUAAUACGUAGGGUGCGAGCGUUAAUCGGAAUUACUGGGCGUAAAGCGUGCGCAGGCGGUUUUGUAAGACAGGCGUGAAAUCCCCGGGCUCAACCUGGGAACUGCGCUUGUGACUGCAAGGCUAGAGUAUGGCAGAGGGGGGUGGAAUUCCACGUGUAGCAGUGAAAUGCGUAGAGAUGUGGAGGAACACCAAUGGCGAAGGCAGCCCCCUGGGCCAAUACUGACGCUCAUG